UUUUAGGAGAUAGAUUCCACAAAGCCUGGUCUCUGCUCCACUCCGUUGGUGAAGUCAUCAGAAACGUCAUUCACCAAGGAGUGGAGUUCAGUCCUCUACCCCUGUGAAUGAACUCAGCUGGAGGCCCUCCUAUGAGACAGUUCACAGACUUGGUCCGGCACGGGAAUGGAGGUCCGGUGCAACACCAAGUCUUGCUUAUUGCCGUGAACAUCGCACACUACCUCCAUCAAAGAAAUACCACUUGUGCUAGAGGCCGAGAUUCGGUGGUCCUCAGACCACGUGAGCGGCUCCAGGCCGCUGACCGGACUCAGUAGCUUUAUCACCGGAUCCCUCUUCACGACUGGCCCGAGUGCUGCCCAGGGAUCAUUCUCCCGUUCGGCUUCGUGGACCAGACCAUGCAUCCGCCCUCUCUUAGGUCAAGGAAAAGGAGACCAGAGUCCCAGACUGACAGGUAUGGCAUAUAUCCGGAGAGGCCGUCUCACCGCUGCUGUGUUGGCCGGGGAAGCACACCGGAGAGAAGGGGGAGUGGGGGUGGUUCACUACCCCCCUGCAGACCGUGGAGAAGAAUCCGCGGAACGAGAGGUCGUUGCAGAGCGGGAGGAGGCGCCGAGGGUCCUCUGUAUAGGUAGAGCGCCGCUCCGGGGUCCAGGUUGGACAUCAGGCUUUGGGGGUAGAAAUAGGGCGACGGAAACAUUCUCUGAAGAGCAGAGUAAUUUCCAGCCUCCGCUAACAGUUCCAGUCCAACCGCUGUCUGCCUCUUCCACUUUGUUCUAUUCGGACAAGAAACAGUAGAUAUUAGUAAGGGAACUCUUAUCGUAAAGUUCUAAAUAAGUUUGAAAAGUACAAUUCAAAUCUUUUUAUUAAAGGAUUCGGAUCAUAUAGUUUAGAAUUCAAUCACAUCUGCAUGCGUAAAAAAAAACAUAUUUGGGGAAACCCCGUUGAAAAUGCAUGCACAAAUAAGAUAUGUGGUUCAAUUUCAACGAAAUUAAAUUGUUCUUACUGGAUGUAGGCCUUCCUUGUUAGUAAAAACGUUAACAAAACAUGUAGCAUAUUCUCUUACCACAAGGUACAUUUUCUUUUCCAUUGUGGGGUUUGAAAUGCACAUUUUAAUUUCAGUCAUUAAAGUUCAGUAAAUUGGAAACAUCUGUAUUCAAUGGGUGAAUUUUCGGUUUGGGAUUGUAUUGGUGUCAUCAUGGCGUCGGAAAUGUGUUUUCCACUAUUUUUAAAAUAAAGAUUCAAAGUGUGGCUACUCUCA